rnacentral:rRNA from 1 species
AGGAUUAACGCUGGCGGCGUGCAUGAAACAUGCAAGUCGAGCGCGGUGUGAUGCGGGGUAACCCAAUUCACAUCUAGCGGCGAACGGGUGAGUAACACGUGAGCAACCUACCUUUGAGUUGGGGAUAGCCCUGGGAAACCAGGAUUAAUACCCGAUGUGGUCACAACAGGACAUCCUGAUGUGAGUAAAGGCGUAAGCCGCUCAAUGGCGGGCUCGCGGCCUAUUAGCUUGUUGGUGGGGUAACGGCCUACCAAGGCGAUGAUGGGUAGCUGGUCUGAGAGGACGAUCAGCCACACUGGGACUGAGACACGGCCCAGACUCCUACGGGAGGCAGCAGUUAGGAAUUUUCCGCAAUGGGCGAAAGCCUGACGGAGCAACGCCGCGUGAGUGAAGAAGGCCUUCGGGUUGUAAGCUCUUUGUCAGGGACGAUAAUGACGGUACCUGAAGAAUAAGCCCGGCAAACUUCGUGCCAGCAGCCGC